GCCAUAGCUCAGUGGGAGAGCAUCUGCUGUGCAUGCAGAAGGUCCCAGGUUCAAUGCUCAGCAUCUUCCAGUUAGGUCCU